GGGGAAUAUUGCGCAAUGGGGGCAACCCUGACGCAGCCAUGCCGCGUGAAUGAAGAAGGCCUUCGGGUUGUAAAGUUCUUUCGGUAGCGAGGAAGGCACUUAGUUUAAUAAACUAGGUGAUUGACGUUAACUACAGAAGAAGCACCGGCUAACUCCGUGCCAGCAGCCGCGGUAAUACGGAGGGUGCGAGCGCUAAUCGGAAUAACUGGGCGUAAAGGGCACGCAGGCGGUGACUUAAGUGAGGUGUGAAAGCCCCGGGCUUAACCUGGGAAUUGCAUUUCAUACUGGGUCGCUAGAGUACUUUAGGGAGGGGUAGAAUUCCACGUGUAGCGGUGAAAUGCGUAGAGAUGUGGAGGAAUACCGAAGGCGAAGGCAGCCCCUUGGGAAUGUACUGACGCUCAUGUGCGAAAGCGUGGGGAGCAAACAGGAUUAGAUACCCUGGUAGUCCACGCUGUAAACGAUGUCGAUUUGGGGGUUGAACUUUGAGUUUGGCGCCCGUAGCUAACGUGAUAAAUCGACCGCCUGGGGAGUACGGCCGCAAGGUUA
rnacentral:rRNA from 1 species